UAAUCGUAUACGUCCAGACGGAGCGUUUCCUCGACUUAAAUGAGAAAUAAUACAUGAAAUGUUUUGAUUGGCUGUCCUCGAGACCCGCGGAAAUAUUCUCUCUCACACCUCAGUAAAAUAUCAGUCUACCUUUCUUGGUUCGCGAGGAACGACCGCGCUCUCUUCCCUCCCGUACUUGUUUCGGUAUUGAUGUUCUAUCCAGAUGUAUAUGUCUAUCGUCCAUACCGUCCACAGAUAUUAUUAAACGGGUAUUAGUAUUGUUAUCUACCUAACUCAACCUACCUAAUAACAUAAUUCUACGAUAAAUGUGCAUAAUAAUGCGGAUCUACUACGCGAGGACAGAAGCACCGGUGGACGACGGCGAAACUAUAAUACGAGAAACCGUCGCUUCCGGUAUACAUCCGGCAGUUCAAGGAGGAUACACGGCGAGAUGGUAGGUAUAAACCGUCAUAAAUUUCGCCGGUUGACAGAUAUACCGACGCGGACGCAUUAAAGGGUUU